UACGUAGGGCGCAAGCGUUGUCCGGAAUUAUUGGGCGUAAAGAGCUCGUAGGUGGUUUGUCGCGUCUGUCGUGAAAGCCCAUGGCUUAACUGUGGGUCUGCGGUGGAUACGGGCAGGCUGGAGGCAGGUAGGGGGAGAACGGAAUUCCCGGUGUAGCGGUGAAAUGCGCAGAUAUCGGGAGGAACACCGGUGGCGAAGGCGGUUCUCUGGGCCUGUACUGACGCUGAGGAGCGAAAGCGUGGGGAGCGAACAGG
rnacentral:rRNA from 1 species